GAUGAAGAACGCAGCGAAAUGCGAUAAGUAGUGUGAAUUGCAGAAUUCAGUGAAUCAUCGAAUCUUUGAACGCACAUUGCGCCCGCCAGCAUUCUGGCGGGCAUGCCUGUUCGAGCGUCAUUUCAACCCCUCAGGCCCUGGUGCCUGGCGUCGGGGCUCUCCCUCGCGGGAGGCCCCCAGAGACAGUGGCGGACCCGCCGCGGCUCCGAGCGCAGUAGUAAAAUAUCUCGCUUAGGAGGCCCGCGGAGGAGCUUUCCGGCCGUAAAACCAGGUCUGCAAAGACCGACCCCACCAAGGUUGACCUCGGAUCAGGUAGGAAUACCCGCUGAACUUAAGCAUAUCAAUAAGCGGAGGA
rnacentral:misc_RNA from 1 species